GUCAGUGUGGCCGAGUGGUUAAGGCGGUAGAUUCGAAUGCCUGUUCAGCAUUAUUAUCUACUGGGUUCGCCCGCGCCAGUUCGAAUCUGGUCGCUGACG
rfam:TPA: Aspergillus nidulans FGSC A4 chromosome I